GAUGUCGAGCGUUGACUGAUCGUAGUGUUGCGUUGACUUUAGAGUUUGGGAGUAGAUGGAGAAAGUGUAGAGUGAUCCACUGGUGCAUUGGAUCCAUAUGCUUGCUACUGUUGAUACCCACUUGGAUUUGGUUGAUGUUCUCUCCAAUUUGGUGACGUGGUUAUAGAUUUGGAUGGCAUCGACUCAUAGAUCUCACAUAAUUCCUCUUGAAGUUGAACGAUGAAUCAAGAUCACAGAUCGGACGACUAAGAUAGGAAGGGUAAUUGGAUGGGCUCCACAAGCCCAAAUAUUAGCCCAUCCAGCCACAGGAGGCUUCGUUUCGCAUUGUGGAUGGAAUUCCACACUGUAGAGUAUAUAUUUUGGUGUGCCAAUUGCCACGUGGCCGUUGUCUGCUGAACAACAAACAAAUGCUUUUGAAUUGGUGGGUGAGUUGAAGAUGGUGUGGAGAUUGCAUUGGAUUAUAGGGUGGAGCUUAAUGGUGGGGCUAACUAUAAGAUUGAGAGAGGAAUAAGGAGUGUGUUGGAAAAUAGAGAGGUAAGGAAGAAAGUGAAAGAGAUAAGUGAAUAGAGUUAGGAAGACUUUAUUAGAAGAUGGAUCUUCCUACACUUAUUUAGGUUGCUUGAUUGAUUUGAUUAUAGUAUGAAUCGAGGAUGAUAUUAGAUUAGGCAUCGUAGUAUCCUCGUUAAAAAAUGUUGCAGAGUAUCAGUUUAAUUUUCAACGCAAAUCAAUCAAAUGAUAUAUAGUUAUUAUAGCUA